AGUGGAAUUGCUGGGUCAUAUGGGAACUGUUCAAUUUUUUGAGGAACUGCCAAACUGUUUUCCAAAGUGGCUGCACUAUUUUACAUUUCUACCAGCAGU
rnacentral:pre_miRNA from 2 species